AUUGAACGCCGGCGGCAGGCCUAACACAUUCAAGUCGAACGAGUGGCGGACGGGUGAGUAAUGUCUUGUAAACUGCCUGAUGGAGGGGGAUAACUACUGGAAACGGUAGCUAAUACCGCCUACCAUCGUAUGUGCCCAGAUGGGAUUAGCUAGUAGGUGGGGGAAAGGCUCACCUAGGCGACGAGCCCUAGCUGGUCCGAGAGGAGUACCAGCCACACUGGAACUGAGACACGGUCAAGACUCCUACGGGAGGAAGCAGUGGGGAAUAUUGGAAAAUGGGCGCAAGCCUGAGGCAGCCAUGCCGCGUGUAUGAAGAGGGCUUUCGGGUGGUAAAGUACUUUCAGCGGGGAGGCGUUACCCGCAGAAGAAGCACCGGCUAACUCCGUGCCAGCAGCCGCGGUAAUAC
rnacentral:rRNA from 1 species